UCUCUGCGUCCACGUGUGUGACCUCUACCAGGAGAAGGGUCCCUGCCUGGUACCUAGUCGGCUCUUGGAGUGGCCACCAGGCAGUGAUCAUUUAGGCUCUUCUGGGUGGCCCUGGUCACACGGACCUCCCCCUCCGGGACUGUGCCCCUCCCCUGACUACAAUGGGGGAAGUACACCUUCACUCCUCGGCUUCUCAGAAUCCCCCCCCCAGCCCCCAAGAUCGCUGCAGAACCAAACACCCGCUCUAAUUAACACCAGCCUCGCGACCCUAAAUGCCUGCUCGUAUCUCUGGGGCAGGAGAAUUAGGCACGUUAUUUUAAACCGGCCCUGACGUUUAUUCUGCUUUUCCCAGCCAGCCGACACUAUCGUUUUUCUAGCUUGCUUCCUGCCCCUCGCUGCAUUCUGGCCGAUAACAUCUCUGGUUUCAUUCUUACGGAAAGAUUUGCUACGGGAACAGAGAAGCACGUUACCUCUCAGAGCACGGUCCCAUGCCUUAUCUGACAGACCCUCCAGCUCUCAGCUAUUUUGGACACUGGGAAGCCAAGGCAUGUCACAUACCUUUACGAAGAGUGACGAUCUUUGGCCAACGAUGCUCCGACUCAAACACGAGUGACCUAGCCGGAAACCGAGAAGACACCCAUGGUUCCAGAAAAGACGCGUGCGCUGGCCACCCCAAGAAGCCAGGGGUUCACGUGCCUUCCUCCCACGGCGCGUAGGGAGUUUGUGACUCUUUGCUGAGAAGGUGUCUGAGACAUCUUCCACCGGUCCCCACUCUGCAGGCAGCAUCUCGAAGGACAGAGGGAGAGAGAGAGACGCUCCCUAUGUCUUAGAAAAUAAAGCAAAAGAGGGUGGCUCCCCCA